rnacentral:tRNA from 1 species
GCGCGUGUAGCCCAAUUGGAAGAGGCGGCUGACUUAAGACCAGCUUUAUGAGAGGCGCGAAUCUCUCCACGCGCACCA